rnacentral:miRNA from 1 species
CCUGCAACUUUGCCUGAUCAGA